rnacentral:rRNA from 1 species
AUUGAACGCUGGCGGCAGGCCUAACACAUGCAAGUCGAGCGGUAGCACAGAGAGCUUGCUCUCGGGUGACGAGCGGCGGACGGGUGAGUAAUGUCUGGGAAACUGCCUGAUGGAGGGGGAUAACUACUGGAAACGGUAGCUAAUACCGCAUAACGUCGCAAGACCAAAGUGGGGGACCUUCGGGCCUCAUGCCAUCAGAUGUGCCCAGAUGGGAUUAGCUAGUAGGUGGGGUAACGGCUCACCUAGGCGACGAUCCCUAGCUGGUCUGAGAGGAUGACCAGCCACACUGGAACUGAGACACGGUCCAGACUCCUACGGGAGGCAGCAGUGGGGAAUAUUGCACAAUGGGUGCAAGCCUGAUGCAGCCAUGCCGCGUGUAUGAAGAAGGCCUUCGGGUUGUAAAGUACUUUCAGCGGGGAGGAAGGCGAUAAGGUUAAUAACCUUGUCGAUUGACGUUACCCGCAGAAGAAGCACCGGCUAACUCCGUGCCAGCAGCCGCGGUAG